rnacentral:lncRNA from 1 species
UUUCUGGGAGAAGUCCCAGGAGAGUGUGGGUCUCCUAGCUGUUAAUAGGGAUAAUGAGCCCCCGCACCUUUGUUCUGCAAGGUUCUGGAGUACAGUCUCCCUUCCUGGCUUCUCUUUGUGGCUCCUUCCCCAUGAUCCCCUCUGCCUUCAUUCCCACAAGAAGGGUAAUGCCCUCCCUCUUCAUCUCUCACUCUGGGAAUCCCCCUUCAAGGCUCAGCCCAGGCUCUUCCUCCUUUCCUGCAUGUGGCUUGAGCUUAUUCGGAUCCUCUGGGUGUUAGUGCUUUCCCCAAAAUGAGGGAUUUUCCCACUUUUCCUUUGGGUCAGUAGUUCUUGUUCCCUUUCUCCCCCAGGGGGAUGGGGGUGUCUUGCAGACAGCUUUGGGGUAGUUUUGUCUUCACUGUCCCCAGUGCUCGGCCAUGUGCCCGACCCUCAGGCCAGACCAGCAUUCACAAAUGCUUAUGGAGUGAACGCUUGAACAAACAAGGCAGGGCUGGCCAUCUGAUUCAGACUUGGGGUGCUUGGACACUCCUGGAAUGUGCACAAACGUGUCUGAUGUUGCAGGAAUUGCUAACAUUGGGAGAUGUGGCUGUCACCUCCAAGGAGACCCCGGUGCCCUUCUCAGCAGGAUCUCUGCAGGGAUGUGCUGCCGGACAACCAGCACAACCUAGCCUACCUGUGACUUGCAAUUUCCAAACCAGAUAUGAUAUACCAAUAGGAACAAGGAAUAAAACUGGAUAAAGGGGAUGUCUGGAAACACCUUUCCAUGUAAAAUGGUGAAAACCAGAUGGGAAAA